AUUUCUUAUCCAGAGCAUACGCACUUGCAAACGCAGUCUUCAGUCUCCUCAUGAAUGUUUACGCGUCGCUGUCGCACGACCAAGAUGUGAGCGUCUUUAUCGAGCCAUGAUAUCGCUGAAACUACGCUGUGACCUCGCAAAGUUGCUUCGUUCGGACGCAGCGAAUAAUCUAAUCGCACCAGCAGAAGAGCGCCGAUCGUCUCGCUCACGGUCCCGAUUUGUGUACUGUACCCUCAGUGAUGCAGCACAGACUGCGCCCCCCACCCCAAAAUAAAAUGCCCGGCACGAAACGUAGUAGCAACUACCCGCCUCACCGCUCUAGUUAGAGACCACAACGAAGCAGCAGCAAACAGGCGGCCAUGCGAGCAAGCAAACCUGUCAGAAUAAACGUUCAAUUUGCGCGGCCGCCCCAUGCCCAAUGAAAAGCGACCGGAAGUGACGGCCGACGCUGUACCAUCACUUCGGCGCGCGGCAGGACGGGAAGGCGGAAGCUGCGCCAUCAUGCUCGUUUUCGCGUGCGUUCGCGUCGCGCGCUGUGCGAAGUAAUUUUAAACGUGUGAUUAGUUUUGCGCGCGGGGUAGAAAAAGAUGUGGCCCAUGCUUUGUGUAUUACUCGUGCCCCACUUCAAAGCAAAGCGUUCGUACGCACUGGAAGAUGGAUCCACGAAGGCUGAAACGAGAAGUUGCAACGUGCCCGGUCGGUAGUACUGGCAUGAUGGAAACUUUCAGCGAGUGUUCCCGCCUGAAAGCCGAGUUUGGUUUCAAGCCACCCUGGACAACUGCUGUAUGAGGCGCCGUUUCUCGGGAGGACCAGUGGGAAGGCGCCAAGUAUACGCUUCGUCCUUUUUCCUCCCAUGCCCUGAUGAAUCGAUAUCCUUGUUUUUUAUUGUGAAAGGAACGUUACAUCCAGAGCAUAAAUAAAUGAUUAAGAAAUCUGGUAGUGUGUUUCGCCAUUACAAUAAUUCCGAUCUUAAAGACGUGGAUUUCCCAUUAGCCCACAUUUCUUUUGAUGCAGACAACCGCUGAAAUUGUUAGCGGCAGGUUAUUCGAGACGUUCUACGUAUAUAGCAAUUGUCUUCAGGAGCUUUAAUGAAUUUUGAAAAUUUGAAGUGUUGUGCUUUAGAGGUAUCAUAUACAAGCUUUAGGUCUCCGGGUAAUUUGCAUGCCCUUCGAGAGCUGUCGCCUAUAGCCCUAUUGAAAUUCGUAACUACAGUUUGGAGCACUGGGGAAGCUAGAAGGCUUGUCCUGGCUCUCGAGAAAGUGUUUAAGCUGGAGGUGUAGGUUGAGGAGUUUGGGGUUGGUAACACAAAGGAUUUUUUAUGCCUUAGCAGUAGGAGUGACACAGGAUAAAAAAAAAUGUAUGUGUGUCAAGCACAGGAAGCUGCUCAUGUGGUAGAAGCAUGUGUGUGCGUGUGUGUGUGUGUGCGCCCAUGCAUGCGUGCGUGUGUGUGAAUUCUCUCCUCAAAAGGGAGUAUGUGUGUAAGUGAGCUAUUUCAUUGCUGGUCUGUUUGCCAAGAAUUGGCAAGAAAACACAAUAAUCAAUUUAACUUGAAAUAAUAAACUUCAAAGCAUACUGGCGUACUGGCGACAGCAGCAUACAAGCAUGCAGCUGUGUGACAAUCUUAAUGCAUGACUGCAACAUCUGGAAGGAGGCUUGCUUCUUCUUCAGUAAGCAGCACAAAGUCCAUAUUCUUGGCUUUUCUCGUGCAAACCAAAACGAGGCUCAUUGCCAAUGAUCUUGUCUUUUGCUCUAAUAGCAUUUGUUUAUCUUGUACUUAGAGCGUCGUUUCUCGCAGGUCAUGCAGAUGGUAGCAGCAAUUUCACAAUGCCCAGCCUUGGCGCCCCCCAUCAAGAGCAAGCCACUUGCGUUCGCCUUCAGACAGAUGGUUAAUGUCUUCUUGAAAGCGGUUGAGAAGACAACAUUGAUGCAAGAUUCCAGCAAUGCCAUGCGCUGCAUUUAUUGGUCAAGAUGCUCAGAGAAUGGAGUCCCUGCACCUCGUGGUUAACCGUGAACAUUUCUUUUUCUUUUGGAAAGCUAAAGGCCAUUUGCUGCAUCACUUGCAUUUUUGCAGCUCAGAUGUGUACUAUAUUUUUCUAAUUUUGAAUCAAUAUUGGCUGUUCAGUAUAAAAAAUGACGUACAGCGUGAAGGACAAGGACUGCGAGAGACACACUCCACUGACUUUCAACAAUAUUUUAUUGCGUUGCCACAUCGUGUGUGUAUACACAGAGGGGUCAUGCGCAGAAAAUGAAAGCCAGUCACAAGGGGUGUUCUAACAGCAAGUCAUUGUAAAAAGAACAUGGUCACUUGAAAAAAAAAACAUCACAAUUUCUAUCUGUUUAGAUACAAAAUUUCACUAGGGGUCAGCGUGAUAGAGGGGGCACUAACGCACACACUACCCAGUUUUCUGGUGAAAUCAGCUUCAAUAAUUUACCGGGUGAGCUGUGUCUCGCUAAAACUUCCGUAUCUUAAAGAGGGGCAUGCAGCCGCAGUCCCGGCAAUGAAUGCCCAAGUGGCCUUGAACAGUGUUAUUGACGUUGUUAUAGUGCUCUCUUAAACGAUCAUUUAGGCGCCUGCCUAUCUGUCCAAUAUAUUUACUGCCUCAAAAUGGGAAUUUGGGAAACCACAUUCGUUGCACACAUCGCAAAACGUUUUCUGUGCCCGGCAGAGCAACAACUCUGACGUGAUUUAGGCGCGUUUACACACUUACAGAGCCUUGCCAGCUUUUCCGGGGCUGAGAAAAGGACUGAUUUCUGCAGGUUCCCUAAUCUUUUUUAGCCUAUGGGAGACAUCAUGAACAUACGGUAGCACUGCAAACCUGUGUCUUUCAACCGGCUGGUUCCUUGACCGAGCGCGCUCAUCAUGUUUUGUGCACUUCAGAAGCUGUUCCGCUAUGGCUGAAAUUAAGGCCAAAGGGUAGCCAACCCAAGAAAGGCAAUCAGCCUGUGCAGCAACGCUAUGUUGCAUCUCGUGUGAGCAAGAUUUAUUGAGGCUGUUAAGGAGGCAAAGCUUUACAAUAUCUCAUUUGACUUUGUUGGACAGACAGGCAGGCGCCUAAACAAUCAUUUAGGAGAGCACGAUAACAACGUCCAUAACACUGUUCAAGGCCACUUCGGCAUCCAUUGCUGGGACUGCGGCUGCAUGCCCCUCUUUGAAGGUACGGAAGCUUUAGCGAGACACAGGUCAUCCGGGAAACUAUAGAAGCAGAUUUCACUAGAAAACUGGUUAGUGUGUGCGUUAGUGACCCCUCUAUCGUGCUGACCCCUAGUGAAGUCUUGUAUCUCAACAGAUAGAAAUUCUAAUGUUUAUUUUUUUCAAAGGACGAUGUUCUUAGUACAGUCACUUGCUGUUAGACACCCCUUGUGACUCAUAUUCUGCGCAUGCCCGCUUUUGUACAAAUACACAUGAUGUGGCAACGUAAUUAAAUAUUGUUGGAAGUCAGCGCAGUCUGUCAUCUCUCGCAGUUCUUGUCAUUCAAGCUGUACGUAAUUUUAUCUCAUUAAUUGCAAACUAUCCCAAGAAACUACCCUUGUUCAGUAUAAUUAUAAUGUUUGAUAUGACCAUUUGCUGGCAAAUGUUAACAGUGUGAUAUUUAACUUGAACUUUUGCAUGACUGCCUAUGCCUGUGUUCUUUUAGUAACCAGAGUAUGGCUAAUUUAUUAAACCAUAUUUGCUAAUUUGCAUGCUCACAUGCUAUAGCAUGCCUUAAUCUUGAAUUACUGCAUCUAAGUGCAAAUAAUUUAGAAAUUUACUAUGUAUUUUAAAACACUGUCCACAUUUUGUGCUCAGCAAAAUCGUUUAAUCAACAGUGGUUUGUUUUUAUCAGGCCUCCUACUGCACUUUGCACCCAGGCACUAGUAGAUGUGGAAUAUGCACUCUUUUGAUUUAUAGUAAGAAAAGAACCUAUUUUCAAACUACAUAUUGUAUAUGUACCAGUGCCUUAGAGUUACAAAACAAAAAUUUAUAGAAACUGGUAUUGUAGUUAGAAAAACCGCUGCACAGCACCUUUAGCCCAGAGAACUCUCGUUUCACAAAAGAGGACAAACUAUGUAGGCACUAAAAAAUUCUACGUAUUUUUUGUGCUCAAGUAAUCUUGUUGGAAAUAGAAAAUUAGCAAUAAGGCUCCUGGCAUAAACCUCACUUAAAGCAUGUCUAUGCUUGGAAAGUAUUGUUUCAGUCUGAAAAAUGUUGGCCAGUUAUGCUUUACAUCGACUUUCCAAACUUUUCAUAAUGCUUUGCGAUUACAUUAGUGUACAAAAUAACAGGUGUCUUUCUUGUGCGUUUGCUCUGCAUUUCAAUUGCUUCCCUAAUUCACCUUUGCAAUAUGCCUUUUUUUAAGGCAUCAAAACUUGAAUUUUCGUUCACUGGAGCCUAAUACUAAAAAUUUAUUCCUUUAUGUGGCCCAAAACACUGCGAAUCAACCCAGGCUCUUUCAGUGCCGCUAUACAUAGUUUCUUCUCUAAUAACAGAUUUGAUCAAUACAUAUAUUUUAGGUACCUUUGUGGGGAAUGUACAUGUUCUUGCACUUACCGAUUUGUUUGGUGAUUGUGCAUGUUUAUAUUUCAUGUGAUUUAUGUAUAUGUUGUACUCUGUAUUGCAGCAUGCAAUAAAUAUAUUUGCGUUUUCUUGAAAAUGCAGCAUAUAUCUUACCAGUCUGUGUUGCAUGUUAUUUGGAUAUGGAAAUC